rnacentral:tRNA from 1 species
GGGUAUAGCUCAGUGGUAGAGUGUAUGCUUAGCAUGCAUGAGGUCCUGGGUUCCAUCCUCAGGAUAUCUA